CCGAAAGGCAGGAGUGCCUGCAAGGGAGCGCGGAGACAGGUGGUGCAUGGCUGUCGUCAGCUCGUGUCGUGAGAUGUUGGGUUAAGUCCCGCAACGAGCGCAACCCUCACCUCUUGUUGCCAUCAGGUCGUGCUGGGCACUCUAGAGGAACUGCCCCGGUCAACGGGGAGGAAGGCGGGGAUGACGUCAAGUCAUCAUGCCCCUUACGUCCUGGGCUACACACGUGCUACAAUGGCCGGUACAAAGGGAUGCCACACCGCGAGGUAGAGCUAAACCCAAAAAGCCGGUCUAAGUUCGGAUUGGAGUCUGCAACUCGACUCCGUGAAGGAGGAAUCGCUAGUAAUCGCGUAUCAGCACGACGCGGUGAAUACGUUCCCGGGCCUUGUACACACCGCCCGUCACACCACGAAAGCCAG
rnacentral:rRNA from 1 species